rnacentral:rRNA from 1 species
AGAGUUUGAUCAUGGCUCAGAACGAACGCUGGCGGCGUGCCUAACACAUGCAAGUCGAACGAGAAAGUCCUUCGGGAUGAGUAGAGUGGCGCACGGGUGAGUAACGCGUGGAUAAUCUGCCCUGGUAUCUGGGAUAACAUUCCGAAAGGGGUGCUAAUACCGGAUAAGCCCACGGGAUCCUUGGAUCUUGCGGGAAAAGGAGGCCUCUAUUUAUAAGCUUCUGUACCAGGAUGAGUCCGCGUCCCAUUAGCUAGUUGGCGGGGUAAUGGCCCACCAAGGCGACGAUGGGUAGCUGGUCUGAGAGGAUGAUCAGCCACACUGGAACUGAAACACGGACCAGACUCCUACGGGAGGCAGCAGUGAGGAAUAUUGGACAAUGGGCGCAAGCCUGAUCCAGCGACGCCGCGUGAGUGAUGAAGGCCUUUGGGUCGUAAAGCUCUGUCAGCAGGGAAGAACGGCCGUGCGGUUAAUACCCGUGCGGAUUGACGGUACCUG